GUACACUCCUACGGGAGGCAGCAGUGAGGAAUAUUGGACAAUGGGUGGAAGCCUGAUCCAGCCAUCCCGCGUGCAGGAAGACGGCCCUAUGGGUUGUAAACUGCUUUUAUCUGGGGAUAAACCUACUUACGUGUAAGUAGCUGAAGGUACCAGAAGAAUAAGCACCGGCUAACUCCGUGCCAGCAGCCGCGGUAAUACGGAGGGUGCAAGCGUUAUCCGGAUUUAUUGGGUUUAAAGGGUCCGUAGGCGGACUGAUAAGUCAGUGGUGAAAUCCGACAGCUUAACUGUCGAACUGCCAUUGAUACUGUUAGUCUUGAGUAAGGUUGAAGUGGCUGGAAUAAGUAGUGUAGCGGUGAAAUGCAUAGAUAUUACUUAGAACACCAAUUGCGAAGGCAGGUCACUAAGUCUUAACUGACGCUGAUGGACGAAAGCGUGGGGAGCGAACAGGAUUAGAAACCCUUGUAGUCCCA
rnacentral:rRNA from 1 species